UCCAACUUGCAUAAUAUCUUCAAAUGUAACAGAAUGAUGUUUUCUGGGAUUUUAACAUGGUAAAGACUCUUCUGGACUAUAUUAUGACAGAGACUAGGAGAAUUGACAUAGUCCUAAGCACCAUCUUGUCCUUUAAGAAGUUAUACCCACUGGUUCUAGGCAUAUGGAGAAGUUACCAGUCAAUGCUCUAAAUUGAAAAAGGGAAGGGAUGGAAACAGUAGAAGAAAGAAGACAACUCAGUGAUCAACUCAGGAAAAGCAGCAAACAUGAAAAUUCUGUGGUUUAAGUUAUAUUACCCAUCCUUGGAGGACCAUUCGUAUGUUUUGUAUCAUAGCUACCAG